rnacentral:rRNA from 1 species
UACGAAGGGUGCAAGCGUUGCUCGGAAUCACUGGGCGUAAAGCGCACGUAGGCGGAUUGUUAAGUCAGGGGUGAAAUCCUGGAGCUCAACUCCAGAACUGCCUUUGAUACUGGCGAUCUCGAGUCCGGGAGAGGUGAGUGGAACUGCGAGUGUAGAGGUGAAAUUCGUAGAUAUUCGCAAGAACACCAGUGGCGAAGGCGGCUCACUGGCCCGGUACUGACGCUGAGGUGCGAAAGCGUGGGGAGCA